ACCAAAUCAUACCCUCUGCUUCUCUACUCUCUCUUGCUCACUCUCUUCUCGACGGUGCGCACCUCCAUCGUUAGGGUUCCUCUUCAUCGCUCAUACCUCCAUCGUUAGGGUUCCUCUCCACCGUGCUUCCAUCAUCAAACCACACCUUCCUUCUGCUCUGCUUCGUUUUCACCUCACCGUGCUUCAAUCAAUCAAACCACACCUUCCUUCUGCUGCUUCGUCUUCACCAUCGCUUCCAUCACUCAAGCUCGUGUGGGUUCUGCUUCUUCUUCACCGAGCCCGUCCGCUCCAGCGCGACUGCAUCCCACGGCGCGCCGCACCUUCCACUGCCAUUAUCAAGGAUGGUUUGGUCACGUUUUUAUGGGUGUUCCAAAGUUUCUUCAAACUGGCAGUAUUGGGUUUGAUUCCUAUUGGGUUAAUGCAGUACGGGGACACUUCCCUUUGGAAGUAGAGGCAUAAUGACCAUGGGAUUGUCUUUCAUAUAAGGUGCUGGAUAUUCAUUAAUUCACUGCUGAAAUUGACUCCCAAGUAACUUUCCAAAGGUGAAUGGAGGAAAGAAAUAGAAUCUGUUGUCGGCAAGUAAUAUAAGAAGGAAAGAUAGAGAGAGGGCAAGUGAUAUAAAGGGUGCAUAUGUGCGUGAAAUGGAAGAUAGGACGCAAAGAGCAUCUGAGCAAAAUCUUCCUCCGCCAAAUGAGUUAGAUGUGUGGCGUGAUGUGGCUGGCAUGAAAAAGGGUAGAAUAUAUGGGUUGGGAUUGGAGUCCACUGUUAUCAAUAAACAAUAUCAUGGCUCAUGUUCGUCAUCAUCUGAAUGGGUAAGAAGAUCAGAAUUUGAUCAAUUGAGAAACACUAUUAUGGAGGAGACUCAAAGAAUGGUAAAACAAAUGAUGGAAGAAAGGAUGCAACAACCACCAAUGCCAAUCCCAAAUCAAGAGGAGUUAGAAACUGAUGAGUCAGAGAAUGAGGAGGAUCUUGGUGCUUUUCCAUGAAAACUUUGUCAAGCUUUGUUUCUAUAUUUAAUGUAAUAGACUAUGUUUAAUGUAAUAGUAAUCUACUAGACUAGUUUAAGUA